rnacentral:rRNA from 1 species
UACGCAGGGGGCGAGCGUUGUCCGGAUUUAUUGGGCGUAAAGAGCCCGUAGGCGGUUUGGCAAGUCGGGUGUGAAAACUCCGGGCUCAACUCGGAGACGCCACUCGAUACUGCCAUGACUCGAGUCCGGUAGGGGAGUGCGGAAUUCCUGGUGUAGCGGUGAAAUGCGCAGAUAUCAGGAGGAACACCGGUGGCGAAGGCGGCACUCUGGGCCGGUACUGACGCUGAGGAGCGAAAGCGUGGGGAGCGAACAGG